CAACUACUCCCUCUGUCCCAAAUUUCUUGUCUUAUAUUUGUCUAGAUACAGAUGUAUCUAAUACUAAAAUGUGACUUGAUACAUCUGUAUCUAGACAAAUCUAAGACAAGAAUUUUGGGACGGAGGGAGUGCUUU
rnacentral:pre_miRNA from 1 species